AGGGUGUAAACGCUGCGGGCUUGGUGUUGGGGGUCCUUUGAGGGCGCCCAGUGCCGGAGAGAAGUUGUUAAGCCUGCUGCUUGGGGAGUACGUCCGCAAGGAUGAAACUUAAAGGAAUUGGCGGGGGAGCACCGCAACGGGAGGAGCGUGCGGUUCAAUUGGAUUCAACGCCGAAAAACUCACCAGGAGCGACGGAUAUAUGGAGGUCAAGCUGAUGACUUUACCUGAUUUUCCGAGAGGAGGUGCAUGGCGUAGUCGUGU
rnacentral:rRNA from 1 species